rnacentral:misc_RNA from 1 species
UAUCCGUAGGUGAACCUGCGGAUGGAUCAUUGUUGGAUGGUUUUUGGUAGAGGAGAAGAGUACUGAAGGGGGGGGGUUGGAAUGAAGGCGGUUCUGAAUGGAGCCGUCUUCUCGUCCCACCCCCCCAUACCACACCCCAUCACACUUAAUAACAUGUACCCAAAAACACAACUUUCAGCAACGGAUCUCUGGGCUCUC